rnacentral:lncRNA from 1 species
UGGGAAAAACCCAGGAUGGGGCGCUUUGCUGGGGGCCGGCCUCGUGGGCUGGCUGCCCGUAAAGCACCGAGGUCCCCAGGCCACCCCCUCCCAAAGCCGGAAACUCCCUGGCCCCUCGCCACUCAGCCUUCCGUGGCCCCGCUGGCACGGCAGCGUCUCGGGCUCUUGGGGGCUGCCCUUUCAUCUUCUCCUCGGUCCGCUGUCGUCGAUGUUGUCAUGCAGUGCUGUUUGAAAGAUGAUGGUGGGGAAACGGCUCAUUGCUCAGUAGAGAGGUAGGAUUUUUAUUUAACCAGACCUUCAGUAGUAUUACCAAUCUGGUUCAACUAAGGUGAUUUUUUGUAAUUAUUAUUAUUAUUAUUAUUAUUUUGGUGGGACAAUCUUUAAUUUUCUAAAGAUAGCACUAACGUCAGCUCGUUAGCCAUCCUGUGCACGUCCCCUCCCUGCUCGGACAUCAUAUGGGCCUCCCGAGGCCGAGGAGUGAAGACGACCACGCCCCGGGUUUGGAAGGUGUUGGCAAAGCCAGACUCCGGCUCGUCCCCCGUCAGGCGUCUCCUUGGAAGCUGGCCUGCCCGGGGACGUCCGCCCAGAUGACUCCCGGGUCAGCCCCUGGCCCUCUCGUCCCCCGGGGGGGGAGGGGGGGGAGAGAAGACGGCGCCACACUCGCCGUGUUCCGGAAGGAUUCGGGCUGGCAGGCCGGUGGCCAGUGCCGGAGACCAUGCCGAGCUUCCUCCACCGGCUGGAACGUGCAGCCAGUGGGUAAUCAGCUGAUGUCGUCCCCAUCACGGAAUUCGGUCCCUGCCCACGCAGGUGUGUGGUGUACAAUGUACAUGCUGUACAGAGACCCUGUGUGCACAGACCUGCUUGCCAUCCACACACACGUACCAGUUACCAGCGUUUUCUGUUUAUUUUUAAUCAAGACUUUUCCUCCCCCCCCAACCCCCCGUUUUCCUACAGAUUUGCUUCAUGUAAGCAAGUACGUAAGGACCCCUCCUUUGGUGAAAUCCGGGUUCGAAUGGAUAUCUCGUGGCAAGGAGAUGCAUCUAUUUUAAGAUGCUUUGGAGCAAACAGGUUUAGCCGUUCCCAGUCCUUAGAAUGCCUUAGCCGGGAUGCGUAGCUCACACUUAGAGAGGAUGACAAAUACAUACAGAGAAAAGAGAUGUCUAAAGCAUCGGGAAAGGUAGAAAAAAAUCUAUUUUUGUACAAAUGUAAUUUUAUCCCUCAUGUAUACUUGGAGGAUGUGGCGGGGAGGGGGGACUUGUUUUGUUUCUGCUUCUAGAGGUUGAGGCGAAAGCUUUCUGAGUCAACGUUGGCACGCAAGGUGGAGCGGAGGAGGGAGCUCUCGGGACGGGGCACGGGCUUCAGACGAAACCGCUGCACAUAGAUGUUUUCUUUCUGGGGCAGAAAGGUGGGCCUGAAACUUUCAAGGGUUUUCUUCCCCUUUCGAGUAAUUUUUAAGCCUUGCUCUGUUCUGUCCCUGCUGCCAGCUGGCCUUCCCGAGACUCUGUGACUGUGAAAUUACUUCCCCACGUGAUUGUUCUCGAAAACUUCGCGGCCGCGGGUGCCGGGGAUGCACGAACAAUGGUGUUAGAAUUGUGGAAAAGAGAAACUCAAAGCCAAACGUGAGAGGAGAAACAAACAAAACAUGAGUGUUU